UACGUAGGUGGCAAGCGUUGUCCGGAAUUAUUGGGCGUAAAGAGCGUGUAGGCGGCUCGGUAAGUCCGCUGUGAAAGUCCAGGGCUCAACCCUGGAAUGCCGGUGGAAACUGUCGAGCUAGAGUCCGGAAGAGGCGAGUGGAAUUCCUGGUGUAGCGGUGAAAUGCGCAGAUAUCAGGAGGAACACCAAUGGCGAAGGCAGCUCGCUGGGACGGUACUGACGCUGAGACGCGAAAGCGUGGGGAGCAAACAGG
rnacentral:rRNA from 1 species